UCAACGCGUUGGGAGCUCUCCCAUAUGGUCGACCUGCAGGCGGCCGCGAAUUCACUAGUGAUUAGAGUUUGAUCCAGGCUCAGAAUGAACGCUGGCGGCAGGCCUAACACAUGCAAGUCGAACGGAGUUAUAUUGUAGCUUGCUAUGGUAUAACUUAGUGGCAGACGGGUGAGUAAUGUAUAGGAAUCUACCUAGUAGUACGGAAUAAUUGUUGGAAACGGCAACUAAUACCAUAUACCACCCUACGGGGGAAAAAUUUAUUGCUAUUAGAUGAGCCUAUAUUAGAUUAGCUAGUUGGUGGAGUAAUAGCCUACCAAGGCAAUGAUCUAUAGCUGAUCUGAGAGGAUGAUCAGCCACACUGGAACUGAGAUACGGUCCAGACUCCUACGGGAGGCAGCAGUGGGGAAUAUUGGACAAUGGGCGAAAGCCUGAUCCAGCCAUGCCGCAUGAGUGAAGAAGGCCUUUGGGUUGUAAAGCUCUUUUAGUGAGGAAGAUAAUGACGGUACUCACAGAAGAAGUCCUGGCUAACUCCGUGCCAGCAGCCGCGGUAAUACGGAGAGGGCUAGUGUUAUUCGGAAUUAUUGGGCGUAAAGGGCGCGUAGGCUGGUUAGUAAGUUAAAAGUGAAAUCCCGAGGCUUAACCUUGGAACUGCUUUUAAAACUGCUAACCUAGAGAUUGAAAGAGGAUAGAGGAAUUCCUAGUGUAGAGGUGAAAUUCGUAAAUAUUAGGAGGAACACCAGUGGCGAAGGCGUCUAUCUGGUUCAAAUCUGACGCUGAGGCGCGAAGGCGUGGGGAGCAAACAGGAUUAGAUACCCUGGUAGUCCACGCUGUAAACGAUGAAUGUUAAAUAUGGGAAGUUUACUUUCUGUAUUACAGCUAACGCGUUAACAUUCCGCCUGGGGACUACGGUCGCAGAUUAAACUCAAGGAAUUGACGGGAC
rnacentral:rRNA from 1 species